rnacentral:rRNA from 1 species
UAGUCAUGUGCUUGUCUCACGGAUUAAGCCAUGCAUGUCUAAGUAUAAGCUUUCUUAUACGGCGAAACUGCGAAUUGCUCUUUAAAACAGUUAUAGUCUCUUUGAUAGUCUUGUAAUACUACAUGGAUAAGCGUGGUAAUUCUAUGGCUAAUACAUGCGCAAAUAUCCUUUGAGAAAAGGAUAGUGUUUAUUAAAUACAGAAGCAAUAAUAAAGACGUCACAAGAGCAGCUUUUGUUGUUUCUUGUGGUGCCUUUUUAAUGGAAGGUGGUUCAUAGGAACCGAACGGAGCGCAUAUUCUUGUUUUAGAAUGGAGAUAGAUCAUUCAAGUUUCUGACCUAUCAGCUUUCGACGGUAGUGUAUUGGACUACCGCGGCAGUGACGGGUAACGGGGAAUGACGGUUCGAUUUCUGAGAGAGAGCCUGCGAAACGGCUACCACAUCUAUAGAAGGCAGCAGGCGCGCAAUUCACCCAAUUCUGACACAGGGAGGUAGUGACAACAAAUAACAACACUGGAAAUUUGACUUCUAGUGAUUGGAAUGGUGGGAAUCCAAAGACCUUUUAAAGUAUCAUUUGGAGGGCAAGUCUGGUGCCAGCAGCCGCGGUAAUUCCCGCUCCAAUAGCAUAUAUUAAAGUUGUUGCAGCUAAAAGCCCGUAGUUGGAUAUCUGCUGGAAGCAAUCAGUCCGCCCUUUUUAUAGGGGUGUGCACUUGAUGAAUUCUGGCAUGAUUAUCUUUCCUAAUGGUAAUGAUAAUUAGGUUGAUUCCUAAUAAUGGUUAUUAUUGGGAUAGAUAGCCGUUACUUUGAGGAAAUUAGAGUGUUUACUGCAGGCUGUUCUUAAGCCUUGAAUUCUGCAGCAUGGAAUAACAACAUAGCAUUUCGGUUCUAUUGUGUUGGUUUCUAGGACUGGAAUAAUGGUUAAUAGGGACAGUUGGGGGCAUUCGUAUUUAACUGUCAGAGGUGAAAUUUUUAGUUUUGUUAAAGAUGAACUAAUGCGAAAGCAUUUGCCAAAGAUGUUUUCAUUAAUCAAGAACGAGAGUUAGCGGCUCGAAGACGAUCAGAUACCGUCGUAGUCUUAGCCGUAAACUAUGCCGACUACAGAUAGGAAAAUGUCAUUACUGACUUCUCCUGCACCUUACGAGAAGUCAAUAUUUUUGGGUUCUGGGGGGAUUAUGGUCGCAAGGCUGAAACGUAAGGGAAUUGACGAAAGGGCACCACCAGGCGUGGAGCCUGCGGCUCAGUUUGACUCAACACGAGGGAACGCACCAGGUCCAGACAUCGAAAGGAUUGACAGAUUGAUAGCUCUUUCUUGAUUCUAUGGGUGGUGGUGCAUGGCCGUUCUUAGUUGGUGCAGUGAAUUGUGUGGUUAAUUCCGUUAACGAACGAGACCUUAACCUGCUAAAUAGGAUCAGGAACACAAACACGCAUCUUGAUGAUGUGAUGUAUGUGUUUUUGUAUCACUUCUUAGAGGGACUUGGCGUGUGUAACGCAAGGAAGUUUGAGGCAAUAACAGAUCUGUGAUGCCCUUAGAUGUUCUGGGCUGCACGCGCGCUACACUGAUGCAUCCAACAAGUUAUUCUUAAAACCUUGGCCGAUAGGUUUAUUAGGUAAUCUUUUGAGUAUGCAUCGUGAUGGGGAUAGAUUAUUGCAAUUAUAAAUCUUCAACGAGGAAUGCCUAGUAGGCGCAAGUCAGCAGCUGGCGCCGAUUACGUCCCUGKCCUUUGUACACACCGCCCGUCGCUCCUACCGAUUGAGUGUUCCGGUGAAUUAUUCGGACUGUUCCGUGUCGCGCGCUUGUGGUGGCACACGUGUGUUUGCGGACUGGGAAGUUUGUGAACCUUAACACUUAGAGGAAGGAGAAGUCGUAACAAAGUUUCC